AUUGAACGCUGGCGGCAGGCUUAACACAUGCAAGUCGAGCGGGGUGAUGGUGCUUGCACUAUCACUUAGCGGCGGACGGGUGAGUAAUGCUUAGGAAUCUGCCUAUUAGUGGGGGACAACAUCUCGAAAGGGAUGCUAAUACCGCAUAUGUCCUACGGGAGAAAGCAGGGGAUCACUUGUGACCUUGCGCUAAUAGAUGAGCCUGAGUCGGAUUAGCUAGUUGGUGGGGUAAAGGCCUACCAAGGCGACGAUCUGUAGCGGGUCUGAGAGGAUGAUCCGCCACACUGGGGCUGAGACACGGCCCAGACUCCUACGGGAGGCAGGAGUGGGGAAUAUUGGACAAUGGGGGGAACCCUGGUCCAGCCAUGCCGCGUGUGUGAAGAAGGCCUUAUGGUUGUAAAGCACUUUAAGCGAGGAGGAGGCUCUUGUGGUUAAUACCCAAGAUGAGUGGACGUUACUCACAGAAUAAGCACCGGCUAACUCUGUGCCAGCCGCCGCGGUAA
rnacentral:rRNA from 1 species